CAUUAGAUGACUGAAAGCAAGUAAUGGUCUCUUAAACCACUCUAUAGUAAAUUAGCGCCUACUUCUAAUG
rnacentral:tRNA from 1 species